AUGAGUCUUCUCCCGUAGUUCUCUGGUGUGAUGAAGUAAAACAUGUUUGGAACUUUUCUUUCAUCCAUCUGGACAUUGUAAUUGACAAGGUAAUCCACUUUGUGAUGAAGCUGGAUCAGAAGCCUGUGCUCGUAGUAUCUCAGUCCUUGGAUCUCUUGCUUCAGGUCUCGUAUCUCUUGCUCGAUAAUCUUGAGCCUCCGAAGUACUGCUUCCACACCCUUAGCUAUUCCACCGAAGCUAGGAUCGACGUUCUCCAGCUCAUUGGUCACAGGCACUGCUUCA
rnacentral:lncRNA from 1 species